GAAGGUGCAACAAAACAUUAUCACAUUUGGAGACAAAUUAGUAAACAUAAAAAUAAAUAGCAUGUGAAAUGCAAGGUGGUGCACUUGGAGUGAAUUGCAGAAAACCACCACAUUGACGCACAUGUUUGCAGAAAACAUGGUUUUACGAAUUUCUGCCAAAAACCAUUGAUUCUCGGCCUAAUUUUUUUGCAAAAAACACUAACAUGUCGCUUUGGGCAUUUUAACCUCAAUUAUGACAUGUGGGGCCCGCAUUUGGUGACUUGGCACAACAGUUCGCGUUAGAUGGCGUUUGGUCUAAUAUUACAAACUAGUCCCUGAAAUUUCACAUAGACACCCCUCAAUCAUAAAGCAAAAGCGCA
rnacentral:lncRNA from 1 species